rnacentral:rRNA from 1 species
UUGAACGCUGGCGGCAUGCCUUACACAUGCAAGUCGAACGGUAACGCGGGGCAACCUGGCGACGAGUGGCGAACGGGUGAGUAAUACAUCGGAACGUACCUGGUAGUGGGGGAUAGCCCGGCGAAAGCCGGAUUAAUACCGCAUACGACCUGAGGGUGAAAGCGGGGGACCUGAGAGGGCCUCGCGCUAUUGGAGCGGCCGAUGGCAGAUUAGCUAGUUGGUGGGGUAAAGGCCCACCAAGGCGACGAUCUGUAGCUGGUCUGAGAGGACGACCAGCCACACUGGGACUGAGACACGGCCCAGACUCCUACGGGAGGCAGCAGUGGGGAAUUUUGGACAAUGGGCGCAAGCCUGAUCCAGCCAUGCCGCGUGCGGGAAGAAGGCCUUCGGGUUGUAAACCGCUUUUGUCGGGGAAGAAACGGCUCUGGUUAAUACCUGGGGCUAAUGACGGUACCUGAAGAAUAAGCACCGGCUAACUACGU